CCCAGCUAGGAGCUGAACCUUCUGGGGCACCAUUUUGCUGCUUUUGUCAUCUCCAAAUCCAAGCCUCCCAUGUUCCCCUCUUCCCCAAGCAUAUACCUGAAUGGACACAAAAAGACAUAACUACAAAUGUUGAUUCAAAAGCAAAUGUUGGAACAGUAACUCUUGAAAAGCUAUUUUGCUCUUGUUACUCAUAGUAGUCCAUUGGAAGAGUCAGAUGCCAUAUAUGUAGUUGUCUAUGAAAGUUUGGGUUGCUUCUCAUGCCAUAUCUCACUAGUCAGCCUCAUUGCAUAAAAACAGAGUAAGUUCGGUUUAUAUGCAAAACCCCUUGAAGCUAAAAUGUGAAUAUCCAAUAUAAAUACAAUGUGUUAUUUUUUUUCUUCAUAAUGUAUACCUACGAC
rnacentral:lncRNA from 1 species